rnacentral:rRNA from 1 species
AGAGUUUGAUCAUGGCUCAGGACGAACGCUGGCGGCGUGCUUAACACAUGCAAGUCGAACGAGACGAUUGAAAGCUUGCUUUAGAAAGUCGAGUGGCAAACGGGUGAGUAACGCGUAGACAACCUGCCGUAAAGAUGGGGACAACAGUCCGAAAGGACUGCUAAUACCGAAUGUUGUAAAUCUUCCGCAUGGAAGACUUACUAAAGGUGGCCUCUACUUGUAAGCUAUCGCUUUACGAUGGGUCUGCGUCUGAUUAGCUGGUUGGUGGGGUAACGGCCUACCAAGGCGACGAUCAGUAGCCGGUCUGAGAGGAUGAACGGCCACAUUGGAACUGAGACACGGUCCAGACUCCUACGGGAGGCAGCAGUGGGGAAUCUUCCGCAAUGGGCGCAAGCCUGACGGAGCAACGCCGCGUGAGUGAAGAAGGGUUUCGACUCGUAAAGCUCUGUUGUCGGGGACGAACGUGGAGACGGCAAAUAGUCGUUUCCAAUGACGGUACCUGACGAGGAAGCCACGGCUAACUACGUGCCAGCAGCCGCGGUAAUACGUAGGUGGCGAGCGUUGUCCGGAAUUAUUGGGCGUAAAGGGAGCGCAGGCGGGAAGGUAAGUCUAUCUUAAAAGUGCGGGGCUCAACCCCGUGAGGGGAUGGAAACUAUCUUUCUUGAGUGCAGGAGAGGAAAGCGGAAUUCCUAGUGUAGCGGUGAAAUGCGUAGAUAUUAGGAGGAACACCAGUGGCGAAGGCGGCUUUCUGGACUGUAACUGACGCUGAGGCUCGAAAGCGUGGGGAGCGAACAGGAUUAGAUACCCUGGUAGUCCACGCCGUAAACGAUGAAUGCUAGGUGUAGGAGGUAUCGACCCCUUCUGUGCCGGAGUUAACGCAAUAAGCAUUCCGCCUGGGGAGUACGGCCGCAAGGCUGAAACUCAAAGGAGUUGACGGGGGCCCGCACAAGCGGUGGAGUAUGUGGUUUAAUUCGACGCAACGCGAAGAACCUUACCAGGGCUUGACAUUGAGUGAAAGGACAAGAGAUUGUCCCCUCUCUUCGGAGACACGAAAACAGGUGGUGCAUGGCUGUCGUCAGCUCGUGUCGUGAGAUGUUGGGUUAAGUCCCGCAACGAGCGCAACCCUUAUCCUUUGUUGCCAGCACGUUAUGGUGGGAACUCAAAGGAG